rnacentral:antisense_RNA from 1 species
UGUUAUGGCGAGCUGUGCGCAGGAGGCUUCGGCCUGCCGGUUCCUUUUCCCGGUCUGCAAACCUGUGUACGGCUCGCCACCUUU